CUGUCUCUUCCAGAAGACCAUCCUCUCUUUGAGAACACGGGCCCUGUCAUCUUCUUCUGUCACCCCUCACAAUAUCCACCCAGCAGCACGGGGCCAGUGCCAGAAGGGCCAGCAAAUUCUUUAGGGGACUUAAGCGCUUAGCACACUGUGGUGUGCAAUCCACACGAAGCCUUGCAGAAGCCAUUCUGUGUCAGUAGAUGGUGCUAAGAGAUCCGGAGAGGCCACCGCAGGAGCCAGCCUGAGAAUGGCCAGGUGAUCACUAGCCAGACACCAUGUGCAUUGAAAAACACGAAAACUAAAACAAAGGGGAAAUGGAGGGAGAUGGUUCUGUAGCCAAACCAGACAGAAAUACUUCUCAAUCUGCUUGGUCCAGACUCAGUAUCCAAGAAGGUAAUCAUCAUGACCCUCCUCUUCACUCCAGAACCGAAUAAUUCCAGGUAAAAAGUUGAACAUUCUUUCUUCCCAGACUUUUAGACUUUUCCAACUCUUCGGAACCAAUUAAUCCUGACGGCGUAAACUUCACUAUGAUUUCUACUGAUGUUCUUCUUGGGGAAAAAAAACUUUCCCAAGACUACUCAUCUCUCCUAAAAGGACUCUCCCUCGGCCUGUCCUUCCAUUUGUUCCUUAGGAAAAAUGGAACAAAAUGGGGAGAGGCAGAACCCAGAAAUGGACAGGAGGGUAACUUGCUAAACUCUUCACUGGGGCCCUGCCCCAAAGUAAUGUACUCCAACCUUCCUCUCUUACACGCAAGGCGGUAUCAGCAGAGAAGGAUGGUAUGAGAACAGACUCAACGAAACCCUCUCUCCAAGUCAACUCAGCUCCUUUUGGGGACAAGUCUUCCUCCAUCUUGGGUAAAUCAAGACAAUCACAGUUGCACAGUUUUUCCCAAAUCUUUGGCUGUAUUGCAAUGGUUGUUUCAAUUUGUAAUCUCCAACUAAACAUUUCCUAACCAUGGAUUAACAAUAUAGUUACUGACUGGUUUCUUUUAACAGUAUUUAUCCAACAUAACAAAAUAAACUGCAAUUUGUUAUACUUUU